rnacentral:rRNA from 1 species
GUUCAAUUUAUUGUACAGUUAGUGGCGAAUGAGUUAGUAACGGAUAGGUAACGUACCCUGUGCUUUGGGAUAGCGUCAGUUGCUUCGGCAACUUUCCGAAAGGGGCGGUAAUACCAGAUAAUAUCAUUUGUCGACAGGCAGAUGAUCAAAGAUUUAUCGGCAUAGGAGCGGCCUGUCUCCUAUCAGCUUGUUGGUGGGGUAAAAGCUCACCAAGGCAACGACGGGUAGCGGGACUGAGAGGUUGACCCGCAACAUCGGGACUGAGACACUGCCCGGACCUCCACGGAGGGCUGCAGUAACGGAUAUUGCGCAAUGGGCGAAAGCCUGACGCAGCGACGCCGCGUGUAGGAGGAAGUCCCUCGGGAUGUAAACUACUGUCAGGGGUAAGAAAGUGCGCUCCGGCGUUUUGAUCUAACCCAGAGGAAGUCACGGCUAACUUCGUGCCAGCAGCCGCGGUAAGACGAAGGUGGCAAGCGUUGUUCGGUAUCACUGGGCUUAAAGCGUGUGUAGGCGGAAUGGUAAGCGUUGCGUGAAAGCCCCCGGCUUAACCGGGGAAUUGCGCAACGAACUGCUUUUCUUGAGGCAAGUAGGGGUGCAUGGAACUCUUGGUGGAGCGGUGGAAUGCGUAGAUAUCAAGAGGAACGCCAGUGGAGAAAUCGGUGCACUGGGCUUGUCCUGACGCUGAGACACGAAAGCGUGGGGAGCGAACGGGAUUAGAUACCCCGGUAGUCCACGCCGUAAACGAUGCCUACUAGGUUGUGGUGGUUCUGACACCAGCACAGCCGAAGCAAAAGUGCUAAG